ACGUAGCUCGUUGGAAAGCGCAAGUUGCGGACAUUGAUCUUGUCUUAAAGAUUCUUAUAAUUUUCAAAAAAGCUUUUUAAACCUGUGCCAGUCCUCCAUGAAUUUCUUUCGUCAAAUGUUGGUAAACCUGUGCCAGUCCACCAUGAAUUUCUGAUUUUGAAAAAUGUCAAGCAUUUGCUGCAGUUUUAUUGAAGUUUAUCAGAACUCUUCUAUGCUAUUCCUAGUGAUUCUAUGUAGACAAAGAUAUUUAUUUCUCUGUUGUUUUUAUUAUUUUUAAAAUUAAAUAGAAAUAGAAAUUUGUGUAAUAUUUGUAUUGAUUAAGGAUAUGUCUUUGUAUUUAUAUGUCUCUGUAUAAUAAAAUGUUUGCAAGA